CCUGGCGGCGAGCGGCGAACGGGUGAGUAAUACAUCGGAACGUGCCCAGACGUGGGGGAUAACUACUCGAAAGAGUAGCUAAUACCGCAUACGAUCUAAGGAUGAAAGCGGGGGAUCGCAAGACCUCGCGCGUUUGGAGCGGCCGAUGGCAGAUUAGGUAGUUGGUGGGGUAAAGGCUUACCAAGCCUGCGAUCUGUAGCUGGUCUGAGAGGACGACCAGCCACACUGGGACUGAGACACGGCCCAG
rnacentral:rRNA from 1 species